GGCAACACGGAAAGAGCUGGCUUGCGAGCUCCCUGCUUAACAGAAGGCUCAGUUGCCCAAGUGACGAAGGCAUUGUGGGGCACGAACCAGGCUUUGGUGAAUUUAUCUCAUUAUACACCAGGAGUUAUAAUUUAAAAACCAGUGUCAUAUAAAGAAGAAAAAAGAUAUGGUGAGAUACAAUACCAUUAACACUUCUUCAGAAACGGAUUUUAAAGCAGAACUUCCAUGACUGUGAAAUCCAACCGGGUGCGCGACCACGAGGAAGGAUGGCGAGGGAGGAAACCGCGCUUUGUUGUUGAGGUGCAGAAAGUUUAAUAUUAACCUGAAUUUGAUUACCGGACUCCUCAGUACUUCAUUCGAUGAUGUUGACUUGGUAAUUUGAUUGCUAUGCAGAUGUGAGCUGUUCUGAUUACAUUAAAAUACGUAAAGGAAAUGAGAAAA
rnacentral:lncRNA from 1 species